UAGAAAGUGGUGUAACGGGAGCACUAAGAGUUUUGAUCUCUUAAGGAUGGGUUCAAACCCCUUCUUUCUAG
rnacentral:tRNA from 1 species